rnacentral:rRNA from 1 species
GACGAGAAAUAACAAUACAGGGCAUUUUAUGCUCUGUAAUUGGAAUGAUGGGAAUCCAAACCCCUUUCAGAGUAACAAUUGGAGGGCAAGUCUGGUGCCAGCAGCCGCGGUAAUUCCAGCUCCAAUAGCGUAUAUUAGAGUUGUUGCAGUUAAAAAGCUCGUAGUUGGAUUUCUGUCGUGGUCUUCCGGUGCCGCCUGUAUGGGUGCGCACUUGGUUUGCCCUCGGCAUUCUUCUGGUUUCCUUCCCCGCUUCACUGCGUGGUUGGUUUUUCCGGAACUUUUACUUUGAGAAAAAUAGAGUGUUUCAAGCAGGCUUUCGCCUUGAAUACUUCAGCAUGGAAUAAUAAGAUAGGACUUUGGUUCUAUUUUGUUGGUUUCUAGGACUAGAGUAAUGAUUAAUAGGGACAGUUGGGGGCAUUCGUAUUUAACUGUCAGAGGUGAAAUUCUUAGAUUUGUUAAAGACGAACUACUGCGAAAGCAUUUGCCAAGGAUGUUUUCAUUAAUCAAGAACGACAGUAGGGGGUU